UGCCGCGUGUGUGAAGAAGGCCUUAUGGUUGUAAAGCACUUUAAGCGAGGAGGAGGCUACUGAAGCUAAUACCUUCAGAUAGUGGACGUUACUCGCAGAAUAAGCACCGGCUAACUCUGUGCCAGCAGCCGCGGUAAUACAGAGGGUGCAAGCGUUAAUCGGAUUUACUGGGCGUAAAGCGCGCGUAGGCGGCUAAUUAAGUCAAAUGUGAAAUCCCCGAGCUUAACUUGGGAAUUGCAUUCGAUACUGGUUAGCUAGAGUGUGGGAGAGGAUGGUAGAAUUCCAGGUGUAGCGGUGAAAUGCGUAGAGAUCUGGAGGAAUACCGAUGGCGAAGGCAGCCAUCUGGCCUAACACUGACGCUGAGGUGCGAAAGCAUGGGGAGCAAACAGGAUUAGAUACCCUGGUAGUCCAUGCCGUAAACGAUGUCUACUAGCCGUUGGGGCCUUUGAGGCUUUAGUGGCGCAGCUAACGCGAUAAGUAGACCGCCUGGGGAGUACGGUCGCAAGACUAAAACUCAAAGG
rnacentral:rRNA from 1 species